CCUACGGGGGGCAGCAGUGAGGAAUAUUGGUCAAUGGACGAGAGUCUGAACCAGCCAAGUAGCGUGAAGGAUGACUGCCCUAUGGGUUGUAAACUUCUUUUAUAUGGGAAUAAAAUGUUCAACGUGUGCACUUUUGUAUGUACCAUAUGAAUAAGGAUCGGCUAACUCCGUGCCAGCAGCCGCGGUAAUACGGAGGAUCCGAGCGUUAUCCGGAUUUAUUGGGUGUAAGGGGAGCGUAGGUGGGUUGUUAAGUCAGUUGUGAAAGGUUGUGGCUCAACCGUAAAAUUGCAGUUGAAACUGGCAGUCUGGAGUACAGUAGAGGUGGGCGGAAUUCGUGGUGUAGCGGUGAAAUGCGUAGAGAUCGCGAAGAACUCCGAUUGCGAAGGCAGUUCACUGGACUGCCACUGACACUGAGGCUCGAAAGCGUGGGUAUCAAACAGGAUUAGAUACCCCUGUAGUC
rnacentral:rRNA from 1 species